UUGACCUCGGAUCAGGUAGGGAUACCCGCUGAACUUAAGCAUAUCAAUAAGCGGAGGAAAAGAAACCAACAGGGAUUACCUCAGUAACGGCGAGUGAAGCGGUAACAGCUCAAAUUUGAAAGCUGGCUCUUUUAGGGUCCGCGUUGUAAUUUGUAGAAGAUGCUUCGGGUGUAGCUCCGGUCUAAGUUCCUUGGAACAGGACGUCAUAGAGGGUGAGAAUCCCGUAUGUGACUGGGUGCUUUCGCUCAUGUGAAGCUCUUUCGACGAGUCGAGUUGUUUGGGAAUGCAGCUCAAAAUGGGUGGUAAAUUUCAUCUAAAGCUAAAUAUUGGCCAGAGACCGAUAGCGCACAAGUAGAGUGAUCGAAAGAUGAAAAGCACUUUGGAAAGAGAGUUAAACAGUACGUGAAAUUGUUGAAAGGGAAGCGCUUGCAACCAGACUUGCGCGCUGAUGAUCAUCCGGGCUUCUGUCCGGUGCACUCGUCUGCGCUCAGGCCAGCAUCGGUUUCGGUGGUGGGAUAAAGGCCUUGGGAAUGUAGCUCCUCUCGGGGAGUGUUAUAGCCCUCGGUGCAAUGC
rnacentral:rRNA from 1 species